rnacentral:rRNA from 1 species
UACGGAAGGCAGCAGUGGGGAAUAUUGCACAAUGGGCGCAAGCCUGAUGCAGCCAUGCCGCGUGUAUGAAGAAGGCCUUCGGGUUGUAAAGUACUUUCAGUCGUGAGGAAGGUGUUAAGGUUAAUAACCUUAGCAAUUGACGUUAGCGACAGAAGAAGCACCGGCUAACUCCGUGCCAGCAGCCGCGGUAAUACGGAGGGUGCGAGCGUUAAUCGGAAUUACUGGGCGUAAAGGGCACGCAGGCGGUUAAUUAAAUUGGAUGUGAAAUCCCCGGGCUUAACCUGGGAAUGGCAUUCAAGACUGGUUAGCUAGAGUCUUGUAGAGGGGGUAGAAUUCCAUGUGUAGCGGUGAAAUGCGUAGAGAUGUGGAGGAAUACCGGUGGCGAAGGCGGCCCCUGGACAAAGACUGACGCUCAUGUGCGAAAGCGUGGGGAGCAAAC